UAAGUGUAGAGAGAGAGCUUCUUUCUUCUCUUCCUCGCUAAGAGAAGAUCUUCGAAUAAUCUCUGUAGUUUUGCGAAUCCCAAAGUAGUGAAUCUCGGAAUCGAUCUCCUCGUUGUUGGAAGAAGACGGAACACCGGAAUCAAUUGCGAUUUUGAUUUAUGGGCGAAUCUGUAGCGACGGCGGUGAUGAGCUCUAUCCCGCCUUUUCUGAGCAAAACCUACGAUAUGGUUGACGAUCCAUUGACGGACGACGUGGUGUCUUGGAGCAGCGGCAACAACAGCUUCGUGGUUUGGAACGUGCCUGAGUUCGCGAAACAGUUUCUACCAAAGUAUUUCAAGCACAACAAUUUCUCCAGUUUCGUCAGACAGCUCAAUACUUAUGGUUUCAGAAAAGUUGAUCCAGACCGCUGGGAGUUUGCAAAUGAGGGCUUUUUAAGAGGCCAAAAACAAAUACUAAAGAGUAUUGUCCGGCGAAAACCUUCGCAAGUGCAGCCUCCACAACAACCUCAAGUUCAGCACUCAUCUGUGGGUGCGUGCGUUGAAGUGGGCAAAUUUGGACUCGAAGAAGAGGUGGAAAGACUUCAGAGGGAUAAGAACGUCCUUAUGCAGGAACUUGUAAGGUUAAGGCAGCAACAACAAGUUACCGAACAUCAUCUGCAAAAUGUGGGACAGAAAGUUCAUGUGAUGGAGCAGAGGCAGCAACAAAUGAUGUCCUUUCUAGCAAAGGCUGUUCAAAGUCCAGGUUUCUUAAACCAAUUUUCCCAGCAGAGUAAUGACGCAAACCAACACAUUUCUGAAAGCAACAAAAAGAGGAGGCUACCUGUUGAGGACCAGAUGAAUUCUGGCAGUCAUGGGGUCAGCGGUCUUAGCCGCCAGAUUGUGAGAUAUCAGUCAUCGAUGAACGAUGCAACAAACACUAUGCUCCAACAGAUACAACAGAUGAGUAAUUCACCUAGCCAUGAAUCUCUCUCAAGCAAUCAUGGCAGCUUUCUUUUGGGCGAUGUUCCAAAUUCCAACCUUUCAGACAAUGGGAGCUCCUCAAAUGGAUCAUCUGGAGUUACAUUGGCAGAUGUUUCAUCCAUUCCUGCAGGCUUAUAUCCUGCAAUGAAGUAUCACGACCCUUGUGAAACAAAUCAAGUCCUGGAGACCAAUUUACCUUUUUCUCAAGGUGAUCUCUUACCUCCAACGCAAGGAGUAGCAGCUUCUGGGAGCUCGAGUUCGGAUCUUGUUGGAUGCGAGACAGAUAAUGGAGAAUGUUUGGAUCCAAUAAUGGCUGUUUUGGAUGGUGCAAUCGAACUAGAAGCUGAUGCCUUAAAUGAGUUGCUUCCUGAAGUCCAAGAUUGUUUUUGGGAACAGUUCAUUGGUGAGAGUCCAGUGAUUGGUGAGACAGAUGAGCUAAUCUCAGGAUCAGUGGAAAAUGAACUGUUAAUGGAGCAGCUAGAAUUACAAUCAGGCCUGGGUAGUGUGUGGAGCAAGAACCAACAAAUGAACUAUCUUACUGAACAGAUGGGACUUCUCACAUCAGAUACUCUCAGAAAAUGAGAUCGCCACGAAAUCACAAUCUUUCCUCAUGAGAUGGGUUAAGAUUUUGUGGAGUCGCAACAACAAAUAAGAAUAUGACCAAAGGAGAUUUUUGCGUUGCAUUUGGAAAAACAUCUCUGCUUGUUACAGACAGAAUGAAAAGGAGAUGCUUCAAAGUGGGAUGUUAUUUUGUUCUUGUACCUGCUGAUCAAGUCCAAGGAACCCCUCGAGAUAGAGAAACUCGCUGAUCUUCGCAAAAAUUUCAAAAUGGUUUUGGUUGUGAGGAUUGAUCUUAAAAUGGGUAAAGGGAAGAUUGCAGCGCUCAAUGCAGUCAUGCAACUUUAGGUUUAUACAAGAAACUCCUUCAACGGGCGCCAAGAGCCUUGAACAGAUGGGAAUAUUGUGCUCAGGGAAAAGUUGUUGUCAAAAUCGAAAGUGAGGAAGAGAUGCUAGUUUUGCAAGAAAGAGCAAAGUCCCUUAAACUGCCAACCCAUAUCACCAUUGCUGCCGGAAAAACACAGAUCGCUCCAAAACAGUAAUGGCUAUUCUUGGACCGGUUGAUAAUUUUGAUGUAACAGGUGGACUAAAGCUUAUGUAAUAACUCUAGGAUCCGACAUUACCACACUCUGGCAGAACGGAGAGGAUGCUAAUUGGCUCCGAAUUUUUCAACAUUUCUUGGUGACAAAUCUGUUUUCCCAUCUUCCGAGUAGAUAACUCAAUUUUGCAUGGAUUUGUACAAUUGUCUUACUAGAAGAUAAUCAUAUGACAAAAUUUGCUGAUUAUCCCAUACAUUUUAAAGAUGAAGAGUCAGUUUUGAUGCUUUCUUUUGUUUUA